rnacentral:rRNA from 1 species
UGCAGUGGAGCGACGAACCAGGGCUUGCCCUGGGGCAGAGCCGCGAACGGGUGAGUAACACGUGGGUUACCUGCCCCGAUGACCGGGACAACCCGAGGAAACUCGGGCUAAUACCGGAUGUGGUCUUCGGACGAAAGGAAGCUUCGGCCUCCGCAUCGGGAUGGGCCCGCGGCGCAUUAGCUAGUUGGUGGGGUAAUGGCCUACCAAGGCUUCGAUGCGUAGCUGGUCUGAGAGGACGAUCAGCCACACUGGGACUGAGACACGGCCCAGACUCCUACGGGAGGCAGCAGUGGGGAAUCUUGCGCAAUGCGCGAAAGCGUGACGCAGCAACGCCGCGUGGGGGAAGACGGCCUUCGGGUUGUAAACCUCUUUCAGUUGGGACGAAGGCCAUCCGGUUAAUAGCCGGUUUGGUUGACGGUACCUUCAGAAGAAGCCCCGGCUAACUACGUGCCAGCAGCCGCGGUAAUACGUAGGGGGCAAGCGUUGUCCGGAAUCAUUGGGCGUAAAGAGCGUGUAGGCGGCCCGAUAAGUCCGCUGUGAAAGUCCAGGGCUCAACCCUGGAAUGCCGGUGGAUACUGUCGGGCUCGAGUCCGGAAGAGGUGAGUGGAAUUCCUGGUGUAGCGGUGAAAUGCGCAGAUAUCAG